CGGUUGCAAAUGGUGUCCGUGAAGAGGCUCAAACUCCCAAGAUGGGAUUAAGCAAGCAUCGCUGGACCCAAUAAUAUAUGAUAUCAGUAACACAACAGCGGGUACUAAGCACAACAAGGUGGAUGUAAAGAAAAACAAGGAAGGAUAGGUCUGAAGAUCAGACAUCUGUGAAGCCAGCGGUGGAAUCUGGAGGGAGAAAGAAAGGAUGUGGCUGUGCAGGCUGAGCUACAAGGGCAUGAAGGUAAAGAAAGGAGACUCUGGCUCUGUGACACUAUAUGUUUGUAUUGAGUUUAGUGCCUGGACUCAGUGUCUGUGAUACUGAGUUGGUCCGGCUCUCACUGAGCCCACACUGCACUUCUUUC